GUGAUUCGGGGUGCACCAGGCGCGAAACCUUUACACUGCGGGCAACCGCGAUAAGGGGGCCCCGAGUGCCGGCACCUAGUGCUGGCUGUCCCGCUGUCUAAACAACAGUGGUUAGCAAGGGCCGGGCAAGACCGGUGCCAGCCGCCGCGGUAACACCGGCGGCCCGAGUGGUAGCCGCUAUUAUUGGGUUUAAAGGGUCCGUAGCCGGCCUAUUAAGUCUCUUGGGAAAUCUGGCGGCUUAAUCGUCAGGCGGCCAAGAGAUACUGGUAGGCUUGGGACCGGGAGAGGUGGGAGGUACUCCAGGGGUAGGGGUGAAAUCUCGUAAUCCUUGGGGGACCACCGAUGGCGAAGGCAUCCCACCAGAACGGGUCCGACGGUGAGGGACGAAAGCUGGGGGCACGAACCGGAUUAGAUACCCGGGUAGUCCCAGCUGUAAACGAUGCUCGCUAGGUGUCAGGUGCGGUGCGACCGCAUCUGGUGCCGCAGUGAAAACUUGAAGCGAGUCACCUGGGAAGUACGGUCGCAAGGCUGAAACUUAAAGGAAUUGGCGGGGGAGCACAAUCGAAU
rnacentral:rRNA from 1 species